GGUCUUAGGGUUUCAUGUCAUUAAAGAUGGAAUUCUUAAACAAAGAGAUCACCAAUUUUCCCUCAUUAUAGAUAAGACCACUACUCAGUCAACAAAAUCUCAGUUAGCACUAAUUGGAACAUACUUUGAUCAAGUGGAAUACAAAACCAGUUAUGUGUUAAUUGACUUGAUUGAAAUGCCAGAUGGUAAGGCUAGCACUACCUAUGCAAAAUGUUAUUGGUUUCUGUCCAGAUACAUGCAACACAAUGUUUGGGAAAAACCAUUCGGUGUCACAACUACUGGUGAGCAAUUGCUCAUGGAUACUGCCAGUAAAAUAUUCUUGUCACUUGAUUAACUUGUGCUCUUCUCAUGCAUCGUUGAUGCUUCCAAAAGCAUUAGAGGAUCUGUGCAGAAACAUUUACUCACAUUUCCAUGUAUCUUCACAGAGGUGUGAUGCACUGAAAGAAUUCCAGGACUUUCUAUAUAUUGAUAGGCAUCAAAUCUUAUGAGCUGGACUCACUCGCUAGCUGUCAAUGAAGGCUUGUGUUGACAGGAUAUUAGAGCAAUAUGAUGCAUUACAGCUUUAUUUUCAGAAUGCUGCAUUUGAGUAUCCCACAAACACAAAUGACAGCAUUUUGAGAAAGCUCAGUAACAAAUUUACCAGAGCUUACCUUGAAUUCAUGUCCUUUAACCUUGGUGGAUUGGUUUCAUUCAAAUUAUUCUUUCAAAGUGACAUGCCAUUGUUGCACUUACUUAAAAAAGAAGUGUCUGGUCUGAUAUCAGCAUUGUGCUCAGAUUUCAUGCAGUACUCAUAUCUUAGAUAGACUGAUAUUGAGCAGCCCUAUGUUCCUCUGAGCAAAGUUUACAUUGGCAUUGCAGCAACAGAUACUUUGAACAGCAUAACUAAAGACAUAGGAGAGAGCCACCCUGAUGUACAAUUGUUUCUCACUCAUUGCAGGGAAUUCCUAAUUGAAUGUGUGCAGCAGAUUCAUUUGAGGUUCAAUGAUCUUGAAAAGUUUGACUUCCUUGAAUGUCUGUCUCCUUCCACUGCAUGCAACAAGAAAGUGCCAUCUUUGCUGCAUUUAUUAAAAUAAAUGCCAUAUCUUAAAGACAUUGUUGAUGUACAAACUUUGGACAAUGAAUGGAGGCAGCAUGCUAUGUACCCUAAUAUUGCUAGUGAUAUGAACAUUCAAGAUUAUUGACUCCUCAUCUUCAGGCUAAAACAUGCUGUAGGAAACCAGAUGUAUCCUAAUUUGUCUAAAGUAAUAUCUGUGCUUUUUUCCUUCCCAUUCUCUAAUGCUUCUGUUGAAAGAGUUUUUAGUCAGCUUAAGCAUAUCAAGAGAGAUCACAGAGGAGCUCCAAAGCAUGAGAGUCUUCUAUGUCUUAUGACAUCAAAACUGUGGUUGCAGCAAAGGGGGAGCUGUAUGGCUGCAACCUUAGAUCCUCCCAAAGAGAUGCUUAAGCUUCAUUCGAGUAUGGUAGAAAAUGUAGAUGAUGAAGAAGCAGCUAAUUUGCGUAAGAAAUUUAUUGAGGAAAUACGUAGAGAGGUCAAAGUGUGAGAUAAUUACUGCCAUUAGGAAUACAAAUUAAUUAAACUCUUCAUGCCUAUUCUUCUUUUCAUUGCACCUUUUACCAAAUGUACUUUUGCAUAGGUAUGUAUAUCUAGAACACCAGAAAAAUAUGAUAGUACCAUGGUGUAAAGGCAGGGGGUAAAUACUGCUAUUUACUGUGGCUGGAAGCAUUUGGCAUCUUUUUUCUAAGCUAUUUUGCCAAUGUUACGAUUUGUCUCGGUACUGAAAAAAUUGUAAGGGGGGACCUUUACGUGUUUUUUCACCUGAUGAUUAAUGCUCCAAUGCUACCUUGAGAGUUAAAAUGUUCAUAUUGUGGUGGCUAAUCUUCAGGUUAUCCAAAUCUUGAAUAAAUUCGCUACAAGUAAACCUCUAUCUACGAUGUCCCAACCUAUGAUAAUCCACGUUAAAGAUGCUGAUAAAUAUUUGUCAUCCCAACAACUCACUAAGUUGGUAUAUGGAACGCAUGACUCGCUUCCUUUGUCAGAUGAAUUGUGAUCUACCCAAACGCCAACUCGUAACCAUCUGGUGAACAAGUCCAGCCGUUGUUUUUUCUUGGUUACAUGUGUGUACUGUGGGGGAGAGUGGUGGAUGCGGUGGAUGAACAUCUCCAGGAGGGCGUGCAGGAUGCUCCACACGUGGCUCUUGAACACUAUUGGCAGGUGGUUCACUGUGAAUGUGGAAUAGGAUCAUAUAACCCAACGUUGAUUCUGGCCGGCCAAUAGUGUGCUAGAGUAAUGGAACAGACCCGUCCCGACCACUCACCUAUGAACGUCUUGACACCGAUGCUCUCGAUGCUCUCAAUCUCCGUGUAGACCAGAAGCCUCGUGUAUGUCUCGAUGAGUGCCGGAGUCAGUGCCACCCCCUCCCCACGACUCGUGCUGAGCUUGUUUUUGUAAGUGCUGUAAAAAAAAAGUAUGUUUGGUUAGAUUUAGUUAGGUUAGGUUGGGUUAGGUUAGGUUAGGUUAGGUUGGGUGUGGUUAAGUUGGGUUAGGAUAGGUUAGAUUAGGUUAGGGUACCUCAUAUUGAAUAUCAUUAUGCAACGUGGUCAGCUGUUUGGACUAUAAGCAAAAGAGCCAUAAUAUAUAUAUUAAUUUAACCUAAACUACUACAUUAUUAUUAUUAUUAUUAUUAUUUUAUGAAUUGUGUUCUUAUAUGACAUGUGAGAGGUCAUCAUUAUUAAGGACGAAUAAACACAGUAGAAUUAAU